UACGUAGGUGGCAAGCGUUGUCCGGAUUUAUUGGGUUUAAAGGGUGCGUAGGCGGCCCUGUAAGUCAGUGCUGAAAUACCCCGGCUUAACCGGUGGGGUGGCAUUGAUACUGCAGAGCUUGAGUACAGAUGAGGUAGGCGGAAUUGACGGUGUAGCAGUGAAAUGCAUAGAUAUCGUCAGGAACACCUAUAGCGAAGGCAGCUUACUGGGCUGUAACUGACGCUGAGGCACGAAAGUGUGGGGAGCAAACAGG
rnacentral:rRNA from 1 species